GAUGAACGCUGGCGGCGUGCCUAAUACAUGCAAGUCGAGCGAACGGACGAGAAGCUUGCUUCUCUGAUGUUAGCGGCGGACGGGUGAGUAACACGUGGAUAACCUACCUAUAAGACUGUGAUAACUUCGGGAAACCGGAGCUAAUACCGGAUAAUAUUUUGACCCGCAUGGUUCAAAAGUGAAAGACGGUCUUGCUGUCCCUUAUAGAUGGAUCCGCGCUGCAUUAGCUAGUUGGUAAGGUACCGGCUUACCAAGGCAACGAUGCAUAGAUGACCUGAGAGCGUGAUCGGCCACACUGGAGUUGCGACAAGGUCCAGACUCCUACGAGAGGCAGCAGUAGCGGAUCUGUCGCAAUGGGCGAAAGCCUGACAGAGCAACGCCGCGUGAGUGAGGAAGUUCUUCGGAUCGUAAAACUCUGUUAUUAGGGAAGAGCAUGUGUGCAGGUAAUUGUGCACAUCUUGACGGUAUCUAAUCAGAGUGCCACGGCUAACUACGUG
rnacentral:rRNA from 1 species